rnacentral:rRNA from 1 species
UGACCAGACUCCUACGGGAGGCAGCAGUGGGGAAUAUUGGGCAAUGGGCGCAAGCCUGACCCAGCAACGCCGCGUGAAGGAAGAAGGCUUUCGGGUUGUAAACUUCUUUUAAGAGGGAAGAGCAGAAGACGGUACCUCUUGAAUAAGCCACGGCUAACUACGUGCCAGCAGCCGCGGUAAUACGUAGGUGGCAAGCGUUGUCCGGAUUUACUGGGUGUAAAGGGCGUGUAGCCGGGCUGACAAGUCAGAUGUGAAAUUCCGGGGCUCAACCCCGGACCUGCAUUUGAAACUGUUGGUCUUGAGUAUCGGGGAGGCAGGCGGAAUUCCUAGUGUAGCGGUGAAAUGCGUAGAUAUUAGGAGGAACCCCAGUGGCGAAGGCGGCCUGCUGGACGACAACUGCCGGUGAGGCGCGAACGCGUGGGGAGCAACCAGGAUUAGAUACCCCAGUAU